rnacentral:rRNA from 1 species
GACGAACGCUGGCGGCGUGCUUAACACAUGCAAGUCGAACGAGGUCCAAGGUGUAGCAAUACAUCUGAAGACCUAGUGGCGAACGGGUGCGUAACACGUGAGGAACUUGUCCCGGUCUCUGGGAUAACAGUUGGAAACGACUGCUAAUACCGGAUGACGUCGGAGCAUCGCAUGGUGCGCUGACGAAAGGGUUACUGGAUCGGGAGAGCCUCGCGGCCUANCAGCUUGUUGGUGGGGUAACGGCCCACCAAGGCAUCGACGGGUAGCUGGUCUGAGAGGAUGAUCAGCCACACUGGGACUGAGACACGGCCCAGACUCCUACGGGAGGCAGCAGUGGGGAAUCUUGCGCAAUGGGCGAAAGCCUGACGCAGCGACGCCGCGUGAGGGAUGACGGCC